UUUCUGGAACUUUCGGGGGCCUCCGCCGGCCGCACAGCCCCGCCCUCCUUCCGGACCCUCAAAGCCCCGUCCCCAGGCUCCAGGCCUCCAGCCCAUCUGCCAGUGUUCAAAGGUGGGCAGGGUCCCCCUUGGGGCUCCCAGCUGUGUGUGGCCAGGGACAGCUGGCUUCACCCGAGCAUCUCCUACACAGUGUGGCUUGGCUCUUGUCGAAGUCAUAUAAAAUAGG
ensembl:lncRNA novel transcript